rnacentral:tRNA from 1 species
UAGAGAGUAGCUCAGUUGGUAGAGCGGCGAACUGUUAAUUCGUUGGUCCUUGGUUCGAUCCCAAGCUCUCUAG